rnacentral:rRNA from 1 species
UACGAAGGGGGCUAGCGUUGCUCGGAAUCACUGGGCGUAAAGCGCACGUAGGCGGAUUGUUAAGUCAGGGGUGAAAUCCUGGAGCUCAACUCCAGAACUGCCUUUGAUACUGGCGAUCUCGAGUCCGGGAGAGGUGAGUGGAACUGCGAGUGUAGAGGUGAAAUUCGUAGAUAUUCGCAAGAACACCAGGGGCGAAGGCGGCUCACUGGCCCGGUACUGACGCUGAGGUGCGAAAGCGUGGGGAGCAAACAGG